CCCAGUAGCGGCGAGCGAACGGGGAGCAGCCCAGAGCCUGAAUCAGUGUGUGUGUUAGUGGAAGCGUCUGGAAAGGCGCGCGAUACAGGGUGACAGCCCCGUACACAAAAAUGCACAUGCUGUGAGCUCGAUGAGUAGGGCGGGACACGUGGUAUCCUGUCUGAAUAUGGGGGGACCAUCCUCCAAGGCUAAAUACUCCUGACUGACCGAUAGUGAACCAGUACCGUGAGGGAAAGGCGAAAAGAACCCCGGCGAGGGGAGUGAAAAAGAACCUGAAACCGUGUACGUACAAGCAGUGGGAGCACGCUUAGGCGUGUGACUGCGUACCUUUUGUAUAAUGGGUCAGCGACUUAUAUUCUGUAGCAAGGUUAACCGAAUAGGGGAGCCGAAGGGAAACCGAGUCUUAACUGGGCGUUAAGUUGCAGGGUAUAGACCCGAAACCCGGUGAUCUAGCCAUGGGCAGGUUGAAGGUUGGGUAACACUAACUGGAGGACCGAACCGACUAAUGUUGAAAAAUUAGCGGAUGACUUGUGGCUGGGGGUGAAAGGCCAAUCAAACCGGGAGAUAGCUGGUUCUCCCCGAAAGCUAUUUAGGUAGCGCCUCGUGAAUUCAUCUCCGGGGGUAGAGCACU
rnacentral:rRNA from 1 species